rnacentral:piRNA from 1 species
UUUAUCUAUCAGGCUGAUUUUUUUAUGA